UUUAGCAGCCUCACCUGGUGUCCGA
rnacentral:miRNA from 1 species